rnacentral:rRNA from 1 species
UACGGAGGGUGCAAGCGUUAUCCGGAUUUACUGGGUUUAAAGGGUGUGUAGGCGGACUUUUAAGUCAGCGGUGAAAUCUCCGGGCUCAACCCGGAAACUGCCAUUGAUACUAUUGGUCUUGAAUGUUGUUGAGGUGGGCGGAACGGGUCAUGUAGCGGUGAAAUGCAUAGAUAUGACCCGGAACACCGAUUGCGAAGGCAGCCCACUAAGCAAUGAUUGACGCUGAGGCACGAAAGCGUGGGGAUCAACAGG